UAGGGAGUCUUCCACAAUGGGCGAAAGCCUGAUGGAGCAACGCCGCGUGUGUGAUGAAGGGUUUCGGCUCGUAAAACACUGUUGUAAGAGAAGAAUGACAUUGAGAGUAACUGUUCAAUGUGUGACGGUAUCUUACCAGAAAGGAACGGCUAAAUACGUGCCAC
rnacentral:rRNA from 1 species